rnacentral:rRNA from 1 species
AUGGUGGCCGUCCUGGAUGCUUUCGCGGCCAAGCUGGCUAUCAUCCUAGUAGGUAUGGCAAAGACUGAGUUAGAGAUGCUCCUGGGCGUACCUGGCGAGAUCACCAAGCUCGAGGCUACGCUCGGUGAUCUCAGUCGCAUCACGGCCGACGCUGAAAGGAGGCGCAUCCACAACCCUGACUCGGGUGCAGAGGAGUGGGUCGGGGAGCUCAAGGAUGUCAUGUACGACGCCGACAACAUACUUGACCUCUGCCAGAUCAUGGAGGGAGAGGAUGCAUCCAAAGCUCCUUCUGGAUGCUGGAACAUCCCAAUGUUGUUAUGCUUCCACAACCCCGUCGCUGCACACAAGAUUGGGAAGAAAAUCCAAGCGCUCAACCAACGGUUGCUGGACAUUGAGAAGAGGAGCACUCGCUAUGCAUUCAUCUCCCAAGCAAUCAACUCUUCGGCAAGCAACUCUAUUGAUAGAGUUGACAGUUCUUUUAUCAAAAGCAACCGCACAACUGGAUCGGGCAUCAUCCUAUCUGAUGUUGUUGGAGAGAAGAUCAAGGAAGAUACAAGAAAGCUUGUUGAUAUUCUAGUCAACAAGGAAGAGAUUCGUGCUGGAUCAAGCAGUGACAGGUUUCCUGUUGUUGCCAGCACUGGUGCUGGUGGGAUAGGCAAAACUACCCUUGCUAGGAUGGUUUUCAAUGACACUAUGGUGAAGGAUCACUUCCAUAAGAGGAUUUGGCUGAGUGUGAAUAACAAUAAAGAGGUCAACGAGAUGACAGUCCUAAGAACCGUCUCAUAUGCUGUUGGAGGUAACCAAAGUGACCUUCCUGACAACAAGGCCCAGCUGGAGAGUGCUUUGAAUCUAGCAGUGAAGCAAAAGAAAUUAUUGUUGGUGAUGGAUGAUGUGUGGAGCCCUAAGGUGUGGAAUGAGCUACUUAGAGUCCCGCUCAAUGAUGGUGCUUCGGGGAGCUGGGUAUUGGUGACCACAAGAAAUAUUGAAGUUGCUAAUAUGAUGAAAGCACAUCACCUCCACCGAGUUGACAAGCUAGUGGGAGAAGACGUUUGGAACCUGCUUAAGAAACAGGUUGUUUUGAAUGAUAAUGACGAAUCUCUUGUUGAGGGAUUAAAGGAUAUUGGGAUGGAGAUUAUAGAAAGAUGUGAUGGUUUGCCACUUGCAGUUAAGGUGGUUGGAGGACUUUUGCUCAGCAAGGGAAAAACAAGAGGUGAUUGGCUUGAUGUUUGUAGUAAUGUCGCAUGGUCAAUGACUACAAUUAGCGAUGAUGUCAACCAAGCAGUGUAUGUGAGCUAUGAGGAAUUACCACAGGUUUUGAAGCAAUGUCUUUUAUAUUAUUCACUCUUUCCUAAGGAUGUAUUGAUCAAGAGUGCGGAUAUAGUCAAUAUGUGGAUUGCUGAAGGUUUCAUACAUAUCACAAGUAUGAAACAGCCAGAAGAUCUGGGAGCUGAGUACUACAAACAAUUAGUCUCACGGAAUCUUCUAGACCCGGAUUAUCGUUUUUAUGAUCAAAAAGCAUGCACCAUGCAUGAUGUUAUCCGCUCAUUUAGUCAGUCUGUAGUGAAACAUGAAGGUUUGUUUGUUGAGGAGGGGCAUAAUCCAAGUUUUACUUCAGGUACUUCCAAGUUGCGGCACCUGUCCAUAUCAAAGAAUGUAACCGAAUGGGGUGCUUUUCACAAACAAGCCUCUCUACGAACAUUGAUAUUAUUCGAAAGCCCCAGGGUUGAUUUAAAAGGUUUUUGGAACAACCUUUCUCUCCUGCGAGUACUUAGUCUACAAGGUGUAAAUGUUGUCGAGCUACCUGACUCGAUAAGCAACCUCAGACAUUUAAGGUACUUGGGACUUGCAGGUACAAGCAUAUCUGGGAUCCCACAAGGAAUAGGUGAUCUGAUGUUUAUGCAGUUCAUCGAACUUGCAGAUUGUGUAAAAAUUUCUCAUGUUCCAGAUAGCAUCUUGAAGCUGCGAAAGCUAAGGUAUAUCAACUUUGCUGGCACCAACAUAGCAUCAAUUCCUCGUGGAUUUGGGAAGCUGGAAGAUUUGGUCAUGAUAUCUGGGUUUCCAACUCAUUCAGAUGAUAAUACAGAUCAAGUAUGGUCCAGUCUGGAAGAACUAGGGCCUUUGUCGAGACUCACAAUGCUUGUCAUAGAAAGUUUGGAGAAGGCAUCUUCUGGUUCUGUGGCCGCUAGAGCAAAACUUAGUAGUAAAGCCCACCUAAGAAUUUUGAACCUGGGAUUUACACAGAAUAGGGAGGUGGAAGAGCAAAACAAUGGGGAGCAAGAGAGAAUCGAGGAGGUUUUGGGUAAUCUCUGUCCUCCAACCUGCAUAGAACAGCUUGCCAUCAUUGGAUACUUUGGACACAAACUUCCCCAGUGGAUGAGAAUGGUGCCAGUCUUUACCUUCUUAAAGCGGCUUGAGCUAUCAAGUUACGCUUGCUAUGAGCUGCCUUCUGGCUUAGGCCAACUCCCCUCUCUUGACUAUUUUUGGGUUGACCAAGCUCCAUUCAUCAAGUAUAUCGGUCAUGGUCUUCACAUGCCCUCAAUUGGUGGUCGGGACAUCGGCCUAGAUAAGACACUUUCUGGUGGUGCUGCUGUUGUUGCAUUUCCCAAGCUGAGAAAACUUGGGUUUCAGGGGAUGUUGGGACUGACAGAGUGGGAAUGGGAGCAGCAAAUCCCAGCUAUGACAACUUUAGAGGUGCUUACAAUUGUCAAUUGUCAGCUCAAGUAUCUCCCUCCUGGACUUGCACAUCAUGCAAAUGCACUGCGGGAGUUGGAUCUAAGAAACCUCUCGCACCUGGUCUCCAUACACAACUUCCCUUCACUCGUUGAGCUUCGCAUAGUUGACAACCGAACACUGGAGAGAAUCUACAACAAUCCAAAUUUGCAGCAUAUUUACAUCGUUAGCUGCCCAGGGCUAAAGGUAUUGGAAGAUUUGCCAUCACUCAAGAGCAUCGAAUGGGUGGAUGUGACUGCUCAAGUGCUCCCAGAUUACUUCCGGCACUCAAAGUUAGAGAAGUUGAUUGUACAAUGCUACAUAAGCUUGCUCAAACUGAUAUCCUUACAAGAUGCCAACUCUUCGGAAUCCGAGUGGGGAAAGAUCCAGCAUGUUCACCAACUAAAAGCAACUGGGUACAUAUCAGCAGAAGAGACACGAUAUAUCUCCUACACCAAGGAGCCCUACUCCUACAAAACAGACAUUGAACGACUGGAUGAAUUUGUAAAUGUGGUGGUUGAAUAA